rnacentral:rRNA from 2 species
GCGACCCCAGGUCAGGUGAGGCAACCCGCU